UUUUCAGCAGCCGCGGUAAUACGUAGGUGACAAGCGUUGUCCGGAUUUACUGGGCGUAAAGAGCGCGCAGGCGGUCGAUCAAGUCGAGUGUGAAAGCCCCCGGCUCAACUGGGGAGGGUCAUUCGAAACUGGUCGACUCGAAGGCAGGAGAGGGUAGUGGAAUUCCCGGUGUAGUGGUGAAAUGCGUAGAUAUCGGGAGGAACACCAGUGGCGAAGGCGACUACCUGGCCUGUUCUUGACGCUGAGGCGCGAAAGCUAGGGGAGCAAACGGGAUUAGAUACCCCCGUAGUCC
rnacentral:rRNA from 1 species